rnacentral:lncRNA from 1 species
CUUACAGAAAGGUCAAAUCUCUUCGGUCAAAAUGUAACAAAGUUGCGCCUUAAUGAUCCAAACAUUUUCCACUAUUCAAAACUUCUAUAAGUAUAAUGGUUUCUGAGAUAAUCCCAUAACAAGGUGUAAGGUCAAAGGUCAAGGUCAACAUACACAUUUGACCUUGAGGUAUUUUUCAAAGUCACAUGAAUUGAUGAUGAAUGGUGAAGAUCCUAGGUGUCUACGACUUACGGUUUCUGAGUUUUGUUGGUCAACCGACACCGGUUAAUUUUCAUAGGGGCAUAACCCUACCAAUGAGUCGUUGAAUCCUUUCGAUCCAAAUGUAACGAAGAACCGGGGUCUGGUCCUGAACAAAUUUCACCCUUCGCUUUUUUUCUACCUCUUACGGUUACGGUGUUUGAACGAUAACAAGGUUUUUUGGUUUCGGAGGGAUUACUCCGAACCGACAAAAUAUUUCGACUCACAGGGUGAGUUCCGGAUAGGUAUUCAUGACACCGAUACAAAGUGUGAACAUGAAAGCGACACGUCUUACGGUUAACGCGGAUAAAUUUGUCAAAGUUUGGCGGAAGAAUAAUAAUAAUAAUUAAACUGUCAAUUGUUCUUGAACAAUUGAGAGGUCUUUCCUUUUGUAAUGUAAAAUACAUGUUCCAACAGACGUAGAAUGUAUUGAAAAGGUCAAGGUCAACCUUAAAAAGCUCGAAAACACACUAAAAAUCCUUUAUAUAAGGUUAAAAACACUAAAUUCGCUAUCUGGGACAUGACCUUGACCUUUGACCUUUUGACCUUUGUCAAGGUCAUUACUCCCCAAUGCCAUUACUGAAGACCCCAAGGGUCUAGGACCUUUGGUUAUAUAGUAAAAGCUGAUUUUGUCUUUUCAGAAACCUAAAACAGGGGUUAUGCCCCUUAUAGAAAGGUCAAAUCUCUUUGGUCAAAAUGUAACAAAGUUGCGCCAUAAUGACCAAACAUUUUCCACUAUUUAAAACUUCUGUAAGUAUAAUGGUUUCUGAGAUUAUCCCAUAACAAGGUGUUAGGUCAAAGGUCAAGGUCAACAUACAAAUUUGACCUUGAGGUAUUUUUCAAAGAUACAUAAAUUGAUGAUGAUUGGUGAAGAUCCUAGGUGUCUACGACUUACGGUUUUUGAGUUUUGGUGGCCAACCGACACCGGUUAAAUUUCAUAGGGGCAUAACCCUACCAAUGAGUCGUUGAAUCUUUUCGAUCCAAAUGUAACGAAGAACCGGGGUCUGGUCCUGAACAAAUUUCACCCUUUGUUUUUUUUCUACCUAUUACGGUUACGGUGUUGGAACGAUAACAAGGUUUUUGGUUUCGGAGGGAUUACUCCGAACCGACAAAAUAUUUCGACUAACAGGGUGAGUUCCAGAUAGGUAUUCAUGACACUGAUACAAAGUGUGAACAUGAAAGCGACACGUCUUACGGUUAACGCGGCUAAAUUUAUCAAAGUUUGGCGGAAAAAGAAUAAUAAUAAUAAUAAUUAAAAUGUCAAUUGUUCUUGAACAAUUGAGAGGUCUUUCCUUUUAUAAUGUAAAAUACAUGUUCAAAUAGACGUAGAAUGUAUUGAAAAGCUUUAAAACACACUGAAAAUCCUUUAAAUAAGGUCAAAAACACAUAAUUCGCUAUAUGGGACAUGACCUUGACCUUUGACCUUUUGACCUUUGUCAAGGUCAUUAGUCCCCAAUGUCAUUGCUGAAGACCCCAUGGGUCUAGGACCUUUGGUUAUAUAGUAAAAGCUGAUUUUGUCUUUUCAGAAACCUAAAACAGGGGUUAUGCCCCUUAUAAAAAGGUCAAAUCUCUUUUGUCAAAAUGUAACAAAGUUGCGCCUUAAUGACCCAAACAUUUUCCACUAUUUAAAACUUCUGUAAGUAUAAUGGUUUCUGAGAUUAUCCCAUAACAAGGUGUUAGGUCAAAGGUCAAGGUCAACAUACAAAUUUGACCUUGAGGUAUUUUUCAAAGAUACAUGAAUUGAUGAUGAUUGGUGAAGAUCCUAGGUGUCUACGACUUACGGUUUCUGAGUUUUGGUGGCCAACCGACACCGGUUAAUUUUCAUAGGGGCAUAACCCUACCAAUGAGUCGUUGAAUCUUUUCGAUCCAAAUGUAACGAAGAACCGGGGUCUGGUCCUGAACAAAUUUCACCCUUUGUUUUUUUUCUACCUAUUACGGUUAUGGUGUUGGAACGAUAACAAGGUUUUUGGGUUUCGGAGGGAUUACUCCGAACCGACAAAAUAUUUCGACUCACAGGGUGAGUUCCAGAUAGGUAUUCAUGACACCUAUACAAAGUGUGAAUAUGAAAGCGACACGUCUUACGGUUAACGCGGCUAAAUUUGUCAAAGUUUAACGGAAGAAUAAUAAUAAUAAUAAUAAACAAAAGAAAUACAGUAAGGUCUUUCCCUUUAGUAAAAGGAAAGACCUUAAUAAACAGAAGAAA